UCCGUAAUGGUCCAGUGGUUAGGAUUUUCCGCUUUCACCGGAACGGCCGGGGUUCAAUUCCCCGUUACGGAA
rnacentral:tRNA from 1 species